GAUGAACGCUGGCGGCGUGCCUAAUACAUGCAAGUCGAGCGAACGGACGAGAGGCUUGCUUCUCUGAUGUUAGCGGCGGACGGGUGAGUAACACGUGGAUAACCUCCCUAUAUGACUGGGAUAACUUCGGGAAACCGGAGCUAAUACCGGAUAAUCUUUUGCACCGCAUGGUUCAAAAGUGAAAGACGGUCUUGCUGUCACUUCUCGAUGGGUCCGCGCUGCAUUAGCUAGUUGGUAAGGUAACGGCUUACCAAGGCAACGAUGCAUAGCCGACCUGAGAGGGUGAUAGGCCACACUAGAACGGAGACACGGUCCAGACUCCUACGGGAGGGAGCAGUAGGGAAUCUUCCGCAGUAGGCGAAAGCCUGACGGAGCAAGGCCGCGUGAGUGAUGAAGGUCUUCGGAGCGUAAAACUCUGUUAUUAGGGAUGAACAUAUGUGUAAGUAAAUGUGCACAUCGUGACGGUACCUGAUCAGAAAGCCACGGCUAACUACGUG
rnacentral:rRNA from 1 species